rnacentral:rRNA from 1 species
UACGAAGGGGGCUAGCGUUGUUCGGAUUUACUGGGCGUAAAGCGCACGUAGGCGGAUCGUUAAGUCGGGGGUGAAAUCCUGGAGCUCAACUCCAGAACUGCCUUCGAUACUGGCGAUCUCGAGUCCGGAAGAGGUGAGUGGAACUCCUAGUGUAGAGGUGGAAUUCGUAGAUAUUAGGAAGAACACCAGUGGCGAAGGCGACUACCUGGCCUGUUCUUGACGCUGAGGCGCGAAAGCUAGGGGAGCAAACGGG